rnacentral:rRNA from 1 species
UAGCGUUGGAGUACACCUCUAUCCAUACCGAACAGAGAAGUUAAGCCCGAUAGCGCCGAUGGUACUGCGGAAGUGGGAGAGUAGGUUGCCGCCUAAU